rnacentral:rRNA from 1 species
AGCGAACGCUGGCGGCAGGCCUAACACAUGCAAGUCGAACGAACCUUUCGGGGUUGGUGGCGGACGGGGGAGUAACACGUGGGAACGUGCCUUUAGGUUCGGAAUAACUCAGGGAAACUUGUGCUAAUACCGAAUGUGCCCUUCGGGGGAAAGAUUAAUCGCCUUUAGAGCGGCCCGCGUUUGAUUAGCUAGUUGGGUGAGGUAAUGGCUCACCAAGGCGACGAUCAGUAGCUGGUCUGAGAGGAUGAUCCGCCACAUUGGGACUGAGCCACGGCCCAAACUCCUACGGGAGGCAGCAGUGGGGAAUCUUGCGCAAUGGGCGAAAGCCUGAAGCAGCCAUGCCGCGUGAAUGAUGAAGGUCUUAGGAUUGUAAAAUUCUUUCACCGGGGACGAUAAUGACGGUACCCGGAGAAGAAGCCCCGGCUAACUUCGUG